AUGAACGCUGGCGGCGUGCCUAAUACAUGCAAGUCGAGCGAACAGACGAGGAGCUUGCUCCUCUGACGUUAGCGGCGGACGGGUGAGUAGCACGUGGAUAACCUACCUAUAAGACUGGGAUAACUUCGGGAAACCGGAGCUAAUACCGGAUAAUAUAUUGAACCGCAUGGUUCAAUAGUGAAAGACGGUUUUGCUGUCACUUAUAGAUGGAUCCGCGCCGCAUUAGCUAGUUGGUAAGGUAACGGCUUACCAAGGCAACGAUGCGUAGCCGACCUGAGAGGGUGAUCGGCCACACUGGAACUGAGACACGGUCCAGACUCCUACGGGAGGCAGCAGUAGGGAAUCUUCCGCAAUGGGCGAAAGCCUGACGGAGCAACGCCGCGUGAGUGAUGAAGGUCUUCGGAUCGUAAAACUCUGUUAUUAGGGAAGAACAAAUGUGUAAGUAACUAUGCACGUCUUGACGGUACCUAAUCAGAAAGCCACGGCUAACUACGUGCCAGCAGCCGCGGUAAUA
rnacentral:rRNA from 1 species